AGUUGGUGGAGUGAUUUGUCUGGUUAAUUCCGUUAACGAACGAGACCUCCGCCUGCUAAAUAGUCUUGCGUACCAAUUUGGUAUGUGAAGACUUCUUAGAGGGACUUCUGGCGAUUAGCUAGAGGAAGCUGGAGGCAAUAACAGGU
rnacentral:rRNA from 1 species